rnacentral:tRNA from 1 species
GUCAGGCGAACGCAUGGGCAUGUGAUCAUGACGCGCGACCAUGCGGGGCAUUGGUGUAAAUGGACAGCACGCCAUC